UCGUGUUUGCGAAGUUUGUAUUUUGUUGUUGUCAUUGAUUCUUCAAGAUUUGUAUUGUAAUAGGGUUAAGAUAGGGUGAUGAACUGCACUACUAUUUUUUGUGGUUGGUGGGUGUAUAGGCAGGAUAGUUUAUAUUGUUGGGUUUAUUUGAUUUUGUAUUUGUUUACAAAUAAUGUUCAUUCUCCCAAAUUUGUAGAUAUUUGUGUUAUUUUUUUUUUGUAAUUUGUAAUUGGCUGUAACUUGUGUAAAAAUUGGUGUAAGUGGUUGUUGUGCCGUAACAGGAAUUUUUUUAUAGAAAGUCAACAUUUGAUGGUGAUAUUGCGUCCUUUGUGUGGGUUGGAAGCGAUUUCUGAAUUUCCUGAUAUGCAUGUGUUUGAUUGUAUUAUUUGUUGGAGUAAUAUAUUAAGUUCGGAUCUAUCUGUAUUUGUUUUUAUAAUCAGCUGUGAAUAUGUAAUGCAUUUUUGAUAGUCCAUUUUGUAUUGAUAAAAACUGUUUUCUUUUUCUUGCAAAAUUAACUUUAGACAUAUAAUGGAUGUUUGCAUUAGAAUUUCUCUGAUCUUUGAUUUACAACAUCUGAUUGGUACAAUUAUAAAAAUAGCCAUAGAGCUCGAGCAUGAUUCACCAUUUUCUCCUAUUUUGAUGUUCAAUUGUUUUCGUGUCUUCAUUUUUUUAACUGACAUAAAGCCAUCAAACAAAAAUAGCAAGCAAUAUUUUCUUAUAUAGGUGAGAACUGAGAAGGGAAGGACAAUCAGGGAACAUCUCUUGUCCAUAAGAGAUUCAGAUUCCCUCAAGGCCUCAAGACAGUGUUGAACUUUACGCUGAGAAGGUUGUCAACAGAGGUCUCUGUGCCAUUGCCUAGGCGGAGUCUCUACGUUACAAGAUCCUCGGUGGUCGCCGUUUGCAGAUUCGUCAUGAAGAGUGGAGCUAAGGGAUGUGAGAUCAUUGUAUGUGGAAAGCUUCGGGCAGCACGUGCCAAAUCCAUGAAUUUCAAAUCCUUUGAAAGCUUCAACCAGAACUUGACCGUCUACUUAUCUUUAAUUGUUUUCUCUCCCAACUCAAGUUAAAAAAUAAAAAAACAUUCAUGAAAGUCCACAAUUAAUAAUUAUUGAAUCACAUUUAAUAUUUUCGGAAAAAAUGAACAUAAACAACAAAAUAUAACCUAAUAAAUUUGCUAGAAGUAUCCCAAAACAAUUUGAAUGGUAUAAAUUGCAUAUGUAAAAUUAUUGUAUCUAAUAAAAUAUCUACAAUUUAGUCAUCUUCUUUUUCAAUGAGUAAAUAUAUACGACAUUUUUUCUUUGGACAAAAUAGAUACGAUAUUGUAAAACAAAACCUAUAUAUUAUUGACAUCCUAAAAAAUAUACACCAUACAUUAGCACAUACAGGAAAACGAAUGGGGUUAACAUGUUUAAACCAUUUUAAAACUUAGAAAUAUACAUAUUUAAAACAUGCCGCCGAGGAAUUACAAUUAUUAGAAGGAUAUGACGUCAAAAAAUGUGACAAAAAGUUUUAAACAAAUAACAUCAAUUUAUAAAUAAUUGUAAAGCAAUAAAAUUGACAAGAACCUUUGGCAUUUAACAAGACUGGAUACUGGUUACUGAUAUCUAUGGCUUUUUAGAAAUUUAUUAACUAAUACGAAACACGGCAUAUCGGUUCAGUUUAUAUGUCAUAGAUUAUUGAAUACAACAAGCCCCCGACCCCGCGCUUGCGCGGGGGCUAUACCCCUAGUUAUACUAAACAUAAUAGAAUGAAAACAUAAUAAAUUUAUUUCUACAGAAAGAUAAAAAAAAACACUAAAUUAGGCAAAAAGAAUAUAUCAGUAACAUAUAUAUAUAUCACUCUCCUAGCAAACCUAAAACUGAUCGACAGAAUCCGCAGCUAGCCUCAUUGUAACCUAACCACCAACCUUUUGACUUGAGGAAGACGAGUCGUCGCUGGAGAAUAUAUUAAGGAGAUUAGUCAGAGUGGUGUACGAAUGGAGGAGCUGGAUGUAAGUAUUACUUCCUUCUUAGGAGUUGAUGUUAUUCAAAUUGUUAUCAAUGAUUGUGAUUGUUUUUUCUUUUCUGGAGAUGAAAUUUACGAAACUUAAAAGCCCUUCGUCACUGAUUGAUUGUUUUUCUGAUGUGGCUAUUGUUAGUUUUUCGAGAACCCGGACGAGUUUCCACCAGGACGUGGUCGCUAUCGCCUGGUACAUGUAAAAUGUACUGGAAGGCGUGCAUACACUAACGAUGCCUUGGUGAAGCUUUAUGCCAAGCUCGGCCUUCAUCGCUACAACUGGCUAGAGGUAUAAACAAACAAACAAACAAACUAAACUAGUAUGUUGUUUUUUUAAUGUAGCUCGACGAUAGCUUUUUUAAAGAGUUUCAUUUGUUUCUAAUUUGUUGCAGGGGACAAACUUUGAAGUAGAUAGCUUGAUGAAAUUCAACAUGGGUAGUGCUGCAUCUCCUUACUACAUGACCUUGGUUGCGCGCCUUCCAUCUAGCGGUUUUCAGCAGAUCUUUCAGGUUCUCGUAGAGUAAGAACAUCUUGGCAUUUUAGAUUUGACAUGCCCCAUCUCUAGACCUCAAGGUAAAGGUUGCUUUGUUGAUCCAUUUAAUCAAUUUCACUACUUUUUAAUUUGCUGACUAUAUUUGACAUAUCUCAUAGGGACCAAGAGUUCAAAGAAAGAGUCAACUCCUUUCUUACGUCCACAUUCCGAGCCAGUGUCUACAAACUACCAAGACAGAUUGGAUAAUUGGGCCUUGUCAAUAAUUCCAUGGCCCUUCUCUGAGAUUGGUUUCAGUGACACAAAGCGUUUUUACAUGUUGAAUGAAUCUGAGUUGCAAUGUGAUUGGAUAUCGUUGUAUGUGGAACUUGCAAUCUGUACUUCCCAUAGGUGGUUUAAAGCUGUAAGUUUUAUGUUCUCCCACUUUGCCUAUCAAUAACAUAUUUGUUGAUGUAUCAAUAACAUACAUGGUGAUAAUGCAAAAUCUUGUUGAUGCAGAAGGAUCUCUCCAACUUUGAGUUGGAGAUUGUCCAAGUGGCCAUAGAAUCUCUUGAUGAUAAGGAGCCCCCAAGUCUCAAUUCUAAAGCCGCUGUCAUCUACAUAGCAUACAAGGACUUGGCCAAGGCUAGGACUGGUGAGCCUUAUCACUACCAAGCUGUGGUGAGAAGAGUCAUCAACCAGGCUACGGGAACACUGAGCAUCCAAGGUGAUUGCUGGAUUUCAGAAGCAGCAGCAACGGCUUCGGCGGCUGAAAGCUUAAGCUUAGGGGUCGCUUAGGACCUCAUAAGCUGUGGAGGUUGUCUAGUCCUAGGUGGUAUCAGACGUACAAGAACCGUGGCCUCCGCUCUUCCCCUAUUUAGUAAUUUAAAGACAUUUGAAAGAUGCGUAGUAACUCUUAUGUAUUGUGUGCUUUUGGUCUCUCGUGUUUAACUAGUAUUACUUAUUAGCGAUGACUGCUUUUUGGACUCUAUUUUAUGCUUUUGGUCUCUCUCUCUCUUUAAGACAUUUGAAAGAUGUUUGUCGGAUGGUUCUCUUAUGUAUUGUGUGCUUUUUUGUCUUUUUCUUAUGUAUCCUGUGUUUUGUGAUGAACUUGAUACCACUGAUAAUCAUUUACAACACAAGAGAUCAAGGGUCUGCAUUAUAGAAGGUGAUGAUGAUCGCGAGUUAGUAGAACCUGAUGUUCUUGUUGAAGACACGAAGGGACAAAAGGCUCACUUUUAUAGUAGAGAAUUUGGUAUGCAUUUGAAACAGUUCUGAAACAUAAGUUGACUUUGGUAUGCUAAUGCGGCUCAACAUAAGUUGCUGAUUCAAAGCAGAGGAACAGUUCUGAAACAGGAGAACACUGAAGAUCAUAUGAUUGUUCUAUGGUCUAGAGCCGGCAUAAAGCAUAUUUGGUUUACUGAUGGACCGUAUCUAAUCUUGCAGAUGGAAGUAACCUUGGGUUGUAGCAGUAUAUUGAGGAUCGGGUUAUGAAGAUCUCCGUUUAAAGCUGCUCACAUACCUGAUAAAUUACAGAACAGACCAGAAUGUGUGUUGCAGGAACUCUAUCAGUCUAGCAGAUGGUCAUUCUCGUAAAACAAGAUGCCUCAAAAUGUGUCUGCUAUCAUGAGGUUGGAUUGCGCAGAUCCAGUGUUCAACGUUAUGCCUCACCGAGAAGAACUGCUGAGAAUUAGGAGAAGCCAGAAGCUGUUAAAGUCUUGGCAAUUCAAGUUCAAAUUCAUGUCUCAUACACUUACAUUACCGGGUAACAUCACUUUCUUAAGGAAACAAGGAGUUCCGAAUCCAUCACAAGUUAUGUUUGUGAACUUGAAUGGAGGGAGAUAGUCAGACACUUUUGGAUGGAACGGCUAAGCAUUGCGAGGUAUUAUUUGAGAAGUUUGGCUCAAUAGACUCAUCUUACAAGGCUUGUUUACUGCUGAAUUUGAUUUAUUUGGAGUUCAUUGGAGAAGGAGUUGUUAGUUUCAGGUUUAACCAAGGAUGUUGAGUUAGAAGCAGCUUCAGAAAGAGGAGUUUUGUUUCAAAUGCCAUUGAAAGAGUGAACAUGAUUAUAUGGUUCUAAUGCUGCUAGAACAGGUCAAGAACAGAGCUUCCCAUGUCAUGGAUCAUACCUUUUUCAAUGAUAUUUGCAGGAUCCGAAAGACAAGCUUUUGUAUGUGUGGCAUCCUUGGAAGAACAAGGAGAAGAUGAUGAAAUCUGAAACUUUCUGUUCUAAUGUGAGGGCAAAACACGUCAUGGUACUCAGACAGUGGAAGAGUUUUGUGAAGAUGUUGAUUUUGAUUGGAGUGAUCGCCAUAUUCUUAUUGCUGAGACGAAUUGACCAGGGAGGGAUCUCUGUUACUGGCUGCUUCAGUUAAAAUUUGCAAAUAGAGCUACAAAGACAAUAGAGCUACAAAAUUUGCAAGCUUGUUCUUGGCUGCUUCAGUUAUCUUCACCAAUAAAUAGAGCUACGAAGACAAUAGUAAUGUCAGCACAAAAGUUUCUAAGUUGGUUAAUUAUUUUUCUCCUUUUUUCUCAGUCUACUGGUAAUAUUUUCUUCCUAUAUUAUUCAUAUAUAUAGAGCAGAGAAUGCUACAUAAAACGUUAUUUCAUAUUUACUUAUACUGUUUCCAAUCAAUUUUCCAGCAAACAGAUGUGUGUACAGAAGUCCUUGUAAAAUUAAUGACGAUUGCAAGAAGAUAUUCACUUUCCCUGGGGAUGAUCGAUCUUACUUAAGUUGCCUGACUUCCCCCCCCCCCCCCAUUAAACAGACAAUGUUGUUGUAAAGUAAACACUCAAACCAAGGAAAUAUAGUCUUGUUAUAGAAGAAUACAUAUUCAUAAAUUUGUUGCAUUGCUUGUCAUCUAUCUAUAAUAAAACAGAGUUUUCUCUCACCUUAGCUCUCCACGUCCAUCUUUAGGGGUGGGCAUUUGUUGACACGUGUCGCCAUUUAAUUGGCUGCGUUUUUUUACUUGUGUUUGAGUUUUUGCUUUACACUUGCGUAAUGGGCUUGAGAAAACAAUUCAAGCCUAUUGUAAAAUUAAUUUUCCUCGCCUUCUCGCAUAAGACCCUGGUAUUUUAUCAGACGAAAGUUCCAGAAAACUCAAAACGUCGAUUGCUUCUCCGUAACGUCUCCUCCUUGCAUUGAUACGUUCUUUACUCCCAACUUCUGCGUGAUUAACCCACUCUUCCCACUCUGCAUCAUUCAAUUGACCUCAUCGAUGAAGCUUCGAGUACAAAUAUCCCAUCUUCCAGCGAUGAAAAACACAACUUUGACUUAGCGGUUUCGGCUUAAAUCGGCAUGACGUCCCUCUCGCAGGUUAUGUAUCAGAGCCUUCUUUUUCAUCUGUUUAGAGUUUGGAAGAUGAUUAUUUGUUUUUUUUGUUCUUGGUUUCAUAGAUGUUACUAGAUAAGCAAGCCAUGAAGACAAUUCUUCUAAAAAUUCUUUCCCUUGCCAGAUAGGUUAGCCAUCUCAUAAUACCAAUUUACAGAUAUGUAGCUCCGCUGGUGUCUCUGUUUUCUAAAAAAAAAAUUGUUAUUGAUGUUAUCUGAGCAUGAAGCAUUUUGGUAUCAUAAUGCCUUUGCUAAAAAAAACACAGUUGGUAUCAUAAAGUAUUCGGGUUUCAGUAUGCUAUUGUAUAUACUUUAGCCUUUUAAAUCUGAAGUUUGUGAUAAUUGCAGACGACUUCAACUGCUGCCAGCUACUGGGAAUUUGUGAGCGUGAAAUAAGCAGAGCUAAAGCACUUCUUAAGAUUCAGUGGCAGACACUUAUCAUGCAUUGUUUCCAGAAGGAACUCCCAUGGAGUUUCAACGCAUCUUGGAACUCAAAGUGAUUUUAAUUCCCAGAUUCUCUAAUAACCAAUUAGCUUGAAGGCAGAGUCCUGUCUACAAUAUCAUCUAUUUGAAAGUCAUGUUACAUUCUCACGUGACUGAGUCUAGAUAAAAAGGACCAUGGCACCAUCUUUAACACAUAGAUAUGUAUAUAUAAAUAUUUGGAUUGCCGGACACUAACUCUGAAACAUUUUGUGGUGUUGAUGCAGGGUCUUAAGAAAGCUGAUCAGCAGAUCAUACUCGAUGAUUUCAACAAGUAUGGCCCAGGGUUGACAUAACCCUCUGUUUCAGGGGCAAUGCCACAAGUGGUUCCAAUUUACCUGCACUGCUGCUGGUAAUCACUAAUCCGGGUAUAGCAGAUGGGUUUAUAGCAAGCAAAGAUGUGUUAAUGAGGGAGCAGCUCUUGGCAGAGGAGCUGCAACCUCUGGCUUUAAUAAGUUCAUUGAACUUACCGAAGCAGCCAAAGACCUCAAAGAUGGAAGUUUAUCACAGUGAAUGCUUAACUCAUUCUCUCUCUCUCUCCUUUAAUAGGACAAACAAACAUUCUUCACCUGGCUUAAACCAGGCUCAUCAGCGACUGCAGUAGGAGCUUGAAAGCUCCAUCUCUUGAGUUUCCAGAGUACAUCAAACAGAGAGGAUAUGAUCUCCAUGAUGUUCAAGCAUAUUUGAAGGUUUUUUUCCUUUGUCAAUGAUAUGUGUUUUUUUGUGUGUCAAAACCCUUUGUCAAACUCUAAUUCCUGUAACACAAAUAUUCAUUGUAUAUGCUAUAAAGACGCAUGCUUUAGUGAUAUGAUAUCAUAUGACUGUAUUUUGAUCAGGUGAUCUAAUGAAUUUAAUGUUUGGAAACA